GAUGAACGCUGGCGGCGUGCCUAAUACAUGCAAGUCGAACGAGGUGCCUUUGUAGCAAUACGAAGGUAUCCUAGUGGCGAACGGGUGAGUAACGCGUUGGUGACCUACCCCAAAGUGUGGGAUAACAGAUCGAAAGAUCUGCUAAUACCGCAUGUGGUCUUCGGAUUUAGAAACUGAUGACUAAAGGAGCAAUUCGCUUUGGGAGGGACCUGCGUCCCAUCAGCUAGUUGGUGAGGUAAUGGCUCACCAAGGCUACGACGGGUAGGGGACCUGAGAGGGUGGCCCCCCACAAUGGAACUGAAACACGGUCCAUACACCUACGGGUGGCAGCAGUAGGGAAUAUUGCACAAUGGGCGAAAGCCUGAUGCAGCAACGCCGCGUGUGCGAUGAAGGCCUUCGGGUCGUAAAGCACUUUUCUGAGGGAUGAGCAAGGACAGUACCUCAGGAAUAAGUCUCGGCUAACUACGUGCCAGCAGCCGC
rnacentral:rRNA from 1 species